AUCGAUUUUGGUUUUAUUUUGUUUAUGGGAAAUAUAUAAAUAAACAACAGAGCAUAGGGAAAGAGAGAGAUGAAGCAAAUGAAGUUGAUAUCCCAAAAAGUAGUUCUAUCACUACCCGUUAGUAUUAUUUUAUUUUAAUAUUUUGUUUAGGAUUUUGUAAAACUGAAAUAAUAAUAUUUCUUUAGGUCAUCCCUAAUGGAGUUUUUAGAAGAGUUUUAGCUGAUGUGGAACAAAAAAAAAUAAUCAGUUAAAACAAAAAUAAAUAAGAUGCUCUCUUAUUUAGUAUACUCAGUUAUGGUUUAAGAGACCAUACAUGUCGCUUAUUCGUUGCUUGAAUAAUUAAUAGAAGUAGAUUUUUUUUUCUGCGGAUCAAAAUUUUUUCUUUUCAUCUCUCUGUCUCGCUUUCUCUCUCGAUCAAAAAGCACAACGGAAGGUUUUUCUCUCGAUCGAAAAGCACAAGGAAAGGAGAUUAAUUGAAAACUAUGCAAUCAAAGGAGAUUGGGUCGGCUGGGGUUCUGAUGCAAAGCUUGUGAUAUCUGCGGAUGGACAAUCGGAGGAUAGACGAAUCGACUCCGAGAUUGAAUCGUUUGAGAUUUGAUUUUGGGGUCGAUUGAUUUUGUUGAGAUUGAAGGGAAUCAGAGGGUGAUGGGGAAACUUGGAUCAGGUUCACAAAUAAGACCGAGUGGGAUGGCUCAGCACCAACAGAGACCAACUCAAUCGUCUCUAAGGCCAGCUUCCUCUCCAAGUACCCAGUCUUUACCCAAGAUAAAGGCCAACUAUGGUGCUUGUGAGCACACAACAAUAAUGACAAAGAGACACCACCCGUGAGCUUCAAGGUCAAGGACAAAGAGACACCACCCGUGAGCUUCAAGGACAAAGAGACACCUCCAUUAGCUUCAAAAGAGACAGUUUCCCGUGAGCAAACAGCAAUAAUGCAACAAUUAUUUUGUUUUUUUGUAACAAGUACACGUUUGUUUCCCGUGAGCAAACCUUCAAGGUCAAGUGUUUUUUUGUAACAAGUACAGUUUGUUUUUCUCUCUUGUAAACAGCAAUAAUGCAACACAUCAAUUCACAAAGUCUAUAAAAGGAGUGUUUACGAGUUAAAGAUACACUCACCAAUUCACAACCUCUCCAAACACUCAUAUACUCUCUAUCUUAUCAAACUCUAUCUUUUCUUUCACUUUCAUUCUAAAUUUGGCAUCUUCUUAUCACAAUAAUUUUGAUGACACCAUUGAUGAUUGCUUAAAUCAAGUUUGUGAUCAAAUUUCCAAUCAAGUUUGGCAAUCUCUCCUUACUCCACCUAUUCAACAACAACAACCACCCAAACCAAAGAAAACAAGAACUUUCAUUGAAAAAAACCCGUAAAGUCGGACACACUCACUUGUGGAACGAUUACUUUAUUGAAAAUGCGAUCUACUCUCCUCGUAUUUUCCGGCGCCGUUUUAGAUGAACAAGCCCUUGUUUAUCCAAAUCGUUGAGCGACUCGGGAAUGAAGAACAAUUCUUUCAACAACGUAGAGAUGCUACAAAAAGGCUUGGGCUUUCAGCGCUACAAAAGUGUACUGCAGCAAUUCGUAUGAUGGCAUAUGGUUCGGCUGAUGAUGCGUUUGACGAAUAUCUUCGAAUUUCUGAAACCACAGCGUAUUCAUGCUUGAAUCAUUUUGUUAAAGCAAUCAUAAAUUGUUUCGUAGAUGAGUACUUACGAAGACCGACACCAGAAGAUCUUCAACGACUACUCGAUAUCGGAGAGCUACGCGGAUUUCCUGGGAUGAUAGGAAGCAUCGAUUGUAUGCAUUGGGAGUGGAAGAAUUGUCCAACUGCAUGGAAAGGUCAAUAUACACGUGGUUCUGGCAAGCCAACCAUCGUUUUAGAGGUUGUAGCUUCACAAGAUCUCUGGAUCUGGCAUGCUUUUUUCGGACCUCCAGGUACAUUGAACGAUAUAAAUAUUCUUGACCGCUCUCCCGUGUUUGAUGAUAUUUUAAACGGUCGAGCUCCGAAAGUUAAAUACAGUGUCAACGGACACCAAUACAAGUUGGCUUACUAUCUCACGGAUGGUAUUUAUCCAAAAUGGUUUACUUUUAUCUGAUCUAUUCCACUGCCACAAACUCCAAAAGACUCCUUAUUUGCUUCACAUCAAGAAGCUGUACGUAAAGAUGUCGAGCGUGCUUUUGGAGUUUUGCAGGCUCGAUUUGCCAUAGUCAAAAACCCGGCUCUUCUUUGGGAUAAGGUAAAAAUGGAAAUAUAAUGAGAGCAUGUAUCAUGCUGCACAAUAUGAUAAUAGAAGAUGAACGAGAUGAGUACACUCAGUUUAAUGAAUCUGAAUUCACACA